rnacentral:rRNA from 1 species
UACGUAGGGAGCAAGCGUUGUCCGGAUUUACUGGGCGUAAAGCGUGCGUAGGUGGUGAGUUAAGUCUGUCGUGAAAGCCCCGGGCUCAACCUGGGAAUGGCGAUGGAUACUGGCUCGCUAGAGUGCGGUAGAGGAGAGUGGAAUUCCCGGUGUAGCAGUGAAAUGCGUAGAGAUCGGGAGGAACAUCAGUUGCGAAGGCGGCUCUCUGGACCAGCACUGACACUGAGGCACGAAAGCGUGGGGAGCAAACAGG